GAUCCUGCUCAGGAUGAACGCUGGCGGCGUGCCUAAUACAUGCAAGUCGAACGCUUUGUGGUUCAACUGAUUUGAAGAGCUUGCUCAGAUAUGACGAUGGACAUUGCAAAGAGUGGCGAACGGGUGAGUAACACGUGGGAAACCUACCUCUUAGCAGGGGAUAACAUUUGGAAACAGAUGCUAAUACCGUAUAACAAUGACAACCGCAUGGUUGUUAUUUAAAAGAUGGUUCUG
rnacentral:rRNA from 1 species